GGCAGGGAAAGAAGAGACUGUGAGGUUCUAAUGGCUCUGAGGAAAGUGGACAAUGAGGAAGAAAAUGAAGAUAAGAUGUAAUUGUAUUUUCCCCAGUCCUGAGCAGAGAAGGCAGGGAUGUUAGCCUUAGAGCUGGAAUUGAGAUUGGGUUAUCUCCAAGGACACUGGCCUCCCCGCUACAGCAACUAGAAUGGGGAAGGGUCCUCCCCAGCCCUCACAGCUGCUAAGGGAAAGAGGACAGAGAAGGCUGUCUCCCCACCAGCCCCCUGCCGAGGGAGGGGGCAGCUCUACCAGGGGCCCAACCUUCAGGGCUCCUCCUCCCUGGCGGCCUCCAGGACAUCCUCUGUCCUCUGCAGCGCCUUCGUUUACAGGUCGUCUUUUCUAUUUUACGCCUGCAUGUCCUUUGCAUUUCGGAUUCUUUAGAUUGAAUGCAUGGUCACGCUGGGACCCAGAAGAGCCACUCCGACAGUGUAUUCGAUUCCCCUUUUAGCAAUAAAGUAACACCAUGUCCUUCUCACAGCCCAGCUCCCAACCCACCUAUGACUUCCAUCUUCCAAUCCUGCCCUCCCCAGCCAGCCCUCACAACUGGAUCCAAUGCUAAUUUGUCAAAAAAGGCAAUUGUCUAAAAAGCAAACAAAAAUCCCAAACAGAAACAAAUGGGAACCCUGACAUGUCCGAACACCUGACUGUUGACACUUGAACAUUUUUAUAUUAUAAAUAAAAUCAGAAAUAACUCCUGUUUGACUGUGUGUACCUAGGUGAGGAGGGAAGCUAGGAGGGCCUAGGAUGAGGCACAUGGGUACUGGGAGGAAGAUUGGAUAGGGCCAAGAUAGUCCCUGAGCGGAAGUGACCCUCUCUCCAGUCCCUCUGGCCCCAGCUCCCAGGACCUGCUCCAAGUCUUUCUUCCAAAUCAUUCAUAAGGUGUCCCCCUGGGUGCUAAGGAACCCAGCCAAGGGACUGACGCAAAUCGUUCCGCUUUAAACGCAGCCUCAGAACUCUGGCCCAGUUCCUGCCCUGCAGCUAGGAAGCUGGACUAGGGCAACAGUUUUUUGCCCAGGUGGGUGAAGAGGGAAGGGUUGUGGGGUUGGCACUGGGGCUGCGGAGGCAAAGAUGACCCUUGGGGCUUCAGGCUCGUCACAGGCAGAGUCUGGACAUGUAAGACAACAUAAUAGGUCCCCUCAUUGCCAGGAGGACCAGAACUGCUCCUGAGCCCACAGGGUACUGCUCCUUCCCCAAUUGUAUAUGCUCUCCCCACACCAGAGCCAGGGCCUGUCUAAACCUGCGGCUCUGAUGAAGGUCUAAUCUCAGGCAUGGAGGAGGCAGAUAGAGUCCAGGGUAAACAGUCUUUCCCAUCAGCUCCCUAGAAUACCAGGAACCAAGAUGCCAGCCAGAACCUAAAGCCUUCCUGGGUGAAUGUGUGCGCAUGUGUAUGCUUAUACAAAUUCUUGAAAGUUGCAGCGUGGAUCUAGACAGAUACUCGCAGAGGAGUGAGACAGAGAGGCAUAGUGCGACAAUAGGUUCUGAGUCCGGGUGCCACCUGUCCCUCUCUAGCUAUGUGGCUUCUCCAGGCCACGGUUUGCUUAGUGAGAAAUGAGGAAGCAGUCGCUUACCUCAGCGAGUGACUGUGGAGGUUACAUGCAGAUGGACCCGGCACUCUUCCUGAUUGAUAUCUAGUCUUGAUGGUCGCGGAGACGGAAUCCUGUGUCUUGUAACCAUGAGUCACAAAGUGGUAAAAACUCAAUGAGGUGAUUAAGAAAAGUCUAAACUUUUAUAAAGUUGUUAUAUUCAUUAAAGGGUGCUGAGGGGCACUUAUUACAAAGGGAAAAGAUGAAAGAGAACCUUCUAGACUGAAUGUUACACAAACCUGUAGAUCACGCCCAGGCCUCACCAGAUGACCCUGUGGUCUGUUUGCUUUCUUAGGGUACUAAUCCUUACGUGUGACCUCUGAUCUCUAUGGGACCCCAGAUUAAAUGCUCUGACCUCUUGUUGAGCCCACUGAUCUCAUUACGAUCUAAUUCAGUGUCCUCACGUAAACUGUGUGGGCCGGGUUUGUUACCUUCUAUGUUUACAUCCAGAAACCACCUGUAAGACUCAAGUGACCUCGUCAAUGAACCUGUACAUGACCCCAUCUCAUUCCCUCAUCAUCUGCCCUAUCUUCUAAGAUACCCCACCAAGAGUCCAAGGCCAGAACUUAACCUCGCUCUUCAGUGCUCCCUUGAUUGCAUUAGCCCGUCUUCAUUGGACAGGUAUGGUUGGGACCUGGAGCGUGCUUGACCAGAGAGCCCUCUUGAUCACCCUGACUCUCAGGGUUUAGCCUUCGGGACGUUGAGUGUGUGGCUUCCCAGGAAGUCACUUCAGGCAACUUCCCUUCUGCCACCCUGUCCCCUGGGACACUCAGGACACUCGGGCAGCUUCCAAGGUCAAAGUUCUAUCCCCUGCUCCCCAAGUUCUUUCUCUACUUUGCAUUAUCACUUUUAGUGUCUUCCCAGUCCCUCUGAGUCCUCAGUGGCCAUGGUAACCACUUCUCCCCUAGUCUCCCUCCUAACGGUGAGACCCGUGAACACAGGGAACUGGCCUCUUUUACCACUGUCCCUAGCACACAGCAACAGUGUAUGGCACAUGGUUGACCCUCACGGAAGAGGGUGAAGGCUAUUUGUCAAGAAUUAGGCACCAGGAGUUCCUGAGCCCUGGAGCAAACCUCCCAGGACCUGUCCUUGUGGGCUUGUUAGGGGUGACAGGAAAGAGGAACAUGAUGGUCUAUUAGAAUGCAGGAAAAAAAUAUUAGAACUUUGAUUUAGAUUUAUUUUCAUCUCAUCUUUUUUAAAUUUCUAUUUUUGUGUAUGUUUUAUAAUGUACAUAAUAUUUUAGUACAGUAGUACAUGUAUAUAAUUUACAAAUAAAGAAUUAUAC
rnacentral:lncRNA from 1 species